rnacentral:sRNA from 1 species
UGCAUAUUCCAGGCCUCCUCUCUUUGAGGUUCCUCCCACAUCCACACGCCUGGCUACUGUUUAGUGCGGAGUACAAAGUGGCCGUUUAUUAUUAUUGACUGGUGAGGCCUGUGCUCCAAAAUUCAUUCUGUCAACAGAAUGUAAGCAAAGUUGGCAUUUUAAAGCAGGGCUCUUUCAGUUUCUGGGUUUUCUCAGGAUUGCUAUGCAACAGGAUCAGUGCUGUAGUCCCCGGUUCAAGCUGAAAAUGUUACACAGGAAGACAUACCAUGUAAAGGACCUCCAAGGUGAAAUUGAAGCUCACACAGAUGUUUAUCACAACCUGGAUGAAAACAGCCAAAAAAUCCUGAGAUCCCUGGAAGGUUCCGAUGAUGCAGUCCUGUUACAAAGACGUUUGGAUAACAUGAACUUCAAGUGGAGUGAACUUCGGAAAAAGUCUCUCAACAUUAGGUCCCAUUUGGAAGCCAGUUCUGACCAGUGGAAGCGUCUGCACCUUUCUCUACAGGAACUUCUGGUGUGGCUACAGCUGAAAGAUGAUGAAUUAAGCCGGCAGGCACCUAUUGGAGGCGACUUUCCAGCAGUUCAGAAGCAGAACGAUGUACAUAGGGCCUUCAAGAGGGAAUUGAAAACUAAAGAACCUGUAAUCAUGAGUACUCUUGAGACUGUACGAAUAUUUCUGACAGAGCAGCCUUUGGAAGGACUAGAGAAACUCUACCAGGAGCCCAGAGAGCUGCCUCCUGAGGAGAGAGCCCAGAAUGUCACUCGGCUUCUACGAAAGCAGGCU